rnacentral:rRNA from 1 species
UAGGGAAUCUUCCGCAAUGGACGCAAGUCUGACGGAGCAACGCCGCGUGAGUGAAGAAGGAUUUCGGUUCGUAAAACUCUGUUGUUAGAGAAGAACAGCGCAUAGAGUAACUGUUAUGCGUGUGACGGUAUCUAACCAGAAAGCCACGGCUAACUACGUGCCAGCAGCCGCGGUAAUACGUAGGUGGCAAGCGUUGUCCGGAUUUAUUGGGCGUAAAGCGAGCGCAGGCGGUCAAUUAAGUCUGAUGUGAAAGCCCCCGGCUCAACCGGGGGGGGUCAUUGGAAACUGGUUGACUUGAGUGCAGAAGAGGGGAGGCGAAUUCCAUGUGUAGCGGUGAAAUGCGUAGAUAUAUGGAGGAACACCAGUGGCGAAGGCGACUCUCUGGUCUGUAACUGACGCUGAGGCUAGAAAGCGUGGGUAGCAAACAGG